UGCCAGCAGCCGCGGUAAUACGUAGGUGGCGAGCGUUGUCCGGAAUUACUGGGUGUAAAGGGCGUGUAGGCGGGGAUAUAAGUCAGAUGUGAAAAUCCAUGGCUUAACUGUGGGACUGCAUCUGAAACUAUAUUUCUUGAGUGCUGGAGAGGAAAGCGGAAUUCCCAGUGUAGCGGUGAAAUGCGUAGAUAUUGGGAGGAACACCAGUGGCGAAGGCGGCUUUCUGGACAGUAACUGACGCUGAGGCGCGAAAGCGUGGGGAGCAAACAGGAUUAGAUACCCUGGUAGUCCACGCUGUAAACGAUGGAUACUAGGUGUAGGGGGUAUCGACCCCCUCUGUGCCGGAGUUAACACAAUAAGUAUCCCACCUGGGGAGUACGGCCGCAAGGUUGAAACUUAAAGGAAUUGGCGGGGGAC
rnacentral:rRNA from 1 species